rnacentral:rRNA from 1 species
UGGGGAAUAUUGCACAAUGGGCGCAAGCCUGAUGCAGCAACGCCGCGUGAGGGACGACGGCCUCGGGUUGUAAACCUCUUUUAGUAGGGAAGAAGCGAAAGUGACGGUACCUGCAGAAAAAGCACCGGCUAACUACGUGCCAGCAGCCGCGGUAAUACNUAGGGUGCGAGCGUUGUCCGGAAUUAUUGGGCGUAAAGAGCUCGUAGGCGGUCUGUCGCGUCUGCUGUGAAAACCCGAGGCUCAACCUCGGGCCCUGCAGUGGGUACGGGCAGACUAGAGUGCGGUAGGGGAGAACGGAAUUCCUGGUGUAGCGGUGGAAUGCGCAGAUAUCAGGAGGAACACCGAUGGCGAAGGCAGUUCUCUGGGCCGUAACUGACGCUGAGGAGCGAAAGCGUGGGGAGCGAACAGGAUUAGAUACCCUGGUAGUCCACGCCGUAAACGUUGGGCGCUAGAUGUGGGGACCAUUCCACGGUUUCCGUGUCGCAGCUAACGCAUUAAGCGCCCC